GACGAACGCUGGCGGCGUGCUUAACACAUGCAAGUCGAACGAUGAAGCCUUUCGGGGUGGAUUAGUGGCGAACGGGUGAGUAACACGUGGGUAAUCUGCCCUGCACUCUGGGAUAAGCCCGGGAAACUGGGUCUAAUACCGGACAUGACUUUCUUACGCAUGUAGGAAGGUGGAAAGUUCCGGCGGUGCAGGAUGAACCCGCGGCCUAUCAGCUUGUUGGUGGGGUAAUGGCCUACCAAGGCGACGACGGGUAGCCGGCCUGAGAGGGCGACCGGUCACACUGGGACUGAGACACGGCCCAGACUCCUACGGGAGGCAGCAGUGGGGAAUAUUGCGCAAUGGGCGAAAGACCUGACGCAGCGACGCCGCGUGGGUGAUGAAGGCCUUCGGU
rnacentral:rRNA from 1 species